rnacentral:rRNA from 1 species
AAUGAACGUUGGCGGCGUGGAUUAGGCAUGCAAGUCGAGCGAGAACCCGCAAGGGGGACAGCGGCGAACGGGGUAGGAAUACGUAGGUAACGUACCCUCGGGGCGAGGACAGCCACGGGAAACUGUGGGUAAUACUCGAUAAACUUCCCAAUCAUUAUGGAAGGGGAAGCAAUGGGUGUGAUUCCACCUGAGGAGCGGCUUACGCAGUAUCAGCUAGUUGGUGAGGUAACGGCUCACCAAGGCUACGACGCUUAGGGGGUGUGAGAGCAUGGCCCCCACCACUGGCACUGAGACACUGGCCAGACACCUACGGGUGGCUGCAGUCGAGAAUCUUCGGCAAUGGACGCAAGUCUGACCGAGCGACGCCGCGUGUGGGAUGAAGGCCUUCGGGUUGUAAACCACUGUCAGAGGGAUGAAGUGUACGAGAGUUAUCUCUUGUAUUUGACAGAGCCUCAGAGGAAGCACGGGCUAAGUUCGUGCCAGCAGCCGCGGUAAU